GGCCAGGAUUCUACCGUGCCUUGCCUUGAAUCCCGGAACUGAAACGCUCUCUUUGGUCUAGUGGUUCUCAAUAGUUCAACAGUCUUUCUUGAUUUUGUGAAAUGUUUAGGACCACUUGACCACUGAG
rnacentral:miRNA from 10 species